UCCGGUUUGGCACCGGCAGUCUUCCUAGAGUCCCCGCCAUUACUCGCUGGCAAAUAAGGAUAAGGGUUGCGCUCGUUACGGGACUUAACCCAACAUCUCACGACACGAGCUGACGACAGCCAUGCAGCACCUGUGUCCAGGUUCCCUUUCGGGCACCCCUCCAUCUCUGGAGGGUUCCUGGCAUGUCAAGGGUAGGUAAGGUUUUUCGCGUUGCAUCGAAUUAAUCCACAUAAUCCACCGCUUGUGCGGGUCCCCGUCAAUUCCUUUGAGUUUUAGCCUUGCGGCCGUACUCCCCAGGCGGGAUACUUAACGCGUUAACUUCGGCACAGAGGGAUUCGACUCCCCCCACACCCAGUAUCCAUCGCUUACGGCGUGGACUAC
rnacentral:misc_RNA from 1 species